GCCUGGUAGCCCGCCGUAAAACGUGUGCCCUAACGUUGAGAAGCCUUGCCCUUAUGGCGCACACGUUUCACUUAAUUGCGCCCCGGGGAGUCGGCCCCCAAGGUUUAAACUCCCAAUGAAUUGCGGGGGCCCCAAACGGUGACUUGGUUUUAUUUAAAACACCCGAAAAACCUUCAGGCUUUGCAUCCAUACUUUCUAAAAAUAGAUGGUGCCCUCUGGGAACAUUGAGUCAAGUCUCUGUGCUGUCGUCCUCUGUCGUUAAUGUUGGUUAUCCGAACGAGGCGACCCUUGUCAUUUUUUCCACCCGUAAUGUGGCCCUUAAGGAGCCUGCCGGUGCCAACCCGGAGGAAGGUGGGAUGACGUCAAGUCAUCAUGGCCCUUAGGCCUGGGCUCCACCGUUGCUCAAUGGUCGGUCCAGAAGGUUCCAACCCCGAAGUGACUAUUUCCAAAAACCCGUUUCUAUCCGUUUAGUUCCAUCCCUUAAAUGGAUCUAGUAUUCCCGAUCAAUGUCCCGGUGAUAGUUCCCGGCCUGUACCCCGCCCUCCCACCAUGCCAGUUGGUUCCCAGAAGUAGCUAGUAAACCCUUGGAGGCCGGUCCCACGGUGUGAUCAUCCCUGGGGUGAAGUCGUAACAAGGGAGUUAGACGCNUCANGNGCCGUGGG
rnacentral:rRNA from 1 species